rnacentral:rRNA from 1 species
AUCAACUUUCGAUGGUAGGAUAGAGACCUACCAUGGUUUUAACGGGUAACGGGGAAUUAGGGUUCGAUUCCGGAGAGGGAGCCUGAGAAACGGCUACCACAUCCAAGGAAGGCAGCAGGCGCGCAAAUUACCCAAUCCCGACACGGGGAGGUAGUGACAAUAAAUAACAAUACGGGGCUCAUUUGGGUCUCGUAAUUGGAAUGAGUACAAUUUAAAUCCCUUAACGAGGAACAAUUGGAGGGCAAGUCUGGUGCCAGCAGCCGCGGUAAUUCCAGCUCCAAUAGCGUAUAUUAAAGUUGUUGCAGUUAAAAAGCUCGUAGUUGAACUUCGGGGUUUACCCAUUGGUCAGGCUUAAUUGUCUGCACUGGUGAGAUAAAUCUCUACCUUCUGAGGAACUUUCAUGCCAUUUAUUUGGUGUGAUGGGAAAUCAGGACUGUUACUUUGAAAAAAUUAGAGUGUUUAAAGCAGGCUAACGUCUGAAUACAUUAGCAUGGAAUAAUGAAAUAGGACGGACUGAUUCUAUUUCGUUGGUUUCUAGGAUCACCGUAAUGAUUAAUAGGGAUAGUUGGGGGCAUUAGUAUUCAAUUGUCAGAGGUGAAAUUCUUGGAUUUAUUGAAGACUAACUACUGCGAAAGCAUUUGCCAAGGAUGUUUUCAUUAAUCAAGAACGAAAGUUAGGGGAUCGAAGACGAUCAGAUACCGUCGUAGUCUUAACCAUAAAACUAUGCCGACUAUGGAUCGGACGAACUUAUUUUUAUUAUGA